rnacentral:rRNA from 1 species
UUAAUACUCGAUAGGAGAUGUACCCUGGAAUGAUUCAUCUCUCAAAUUCGAGCUUAAGGAUGGGGCUGCGGCGGAUUAGGUUGUUGGCGGGGUAAUAGCCCACCAAGCCUGUGAUCCGUAAGGGCUCUUAGCGGAGAGGCCCUGAGAGGGAAUCUUAGACACUAUUCCCAGCCCUACGGGGUGCAGCAGUUAGGAAUCUUCUGCAAUGCGCGCAAGCGUGACAGAUUGAGCCAGAGUGCUUUUCAUUUGAAAAGCUUUUGCCAAAUGCAAAAAGUUUGGCGAAUAAGGACUGGGUAAGACGGGUGCCAGCCGCCGCGGUAAUACCCGCGGUCCAAGUCGCAGCCAUCAUUAUUGGGUCUAAAACAUCCGUAGCUUGCUUAAUAAGUUUCUUGUGAAAUUCUAUAUCUCAAAUAUAGAGCGGGCAAGAAGUACUGUUGAGCUAGAGACUGGAAGACGUAAGAAGUACGUUUGGAGUAGCGGUAAAAUGUGUUAAUCCCAGACGGACUAACAACAGCGAAGGCAUCUUACGAGGACAGUUCUGACAGUAAGGGAUGAAGGCUAGGGGCGCAAAACGGAUUAGAUACCCGUGUAGUCCUAGCAGUAAACACUGCACACUAAACAUUAGUACCUCCUCGAGAGGUGUUAGUGCUGAAGAGAAGUCGAAGAGUGUGCUACCUGGGAAGUAUAGUCGCAAGGCUGAAACUUAAAGGAAUUGGCGGGGGAGC